GACCCAAUGGUCAAGUAUGGUUAAGACAUAACAUUUUCACUGUUAGUGCGAGAGUUCAAAUCUCUCUUGGGUUG
rfam:Blastomyces gilchristii SLH14081 mitochondrial scaffold supercont1.101, whole genome shotgun sequence.